UGGGGAAUAUUGCACAAUGGGCGCAAGCCUGAUGCAGCAACGCCGCGUGAACGAUGAAGGUCUUCGGAUCGUAAAGUUCUGUUGCAGGGGAAGAUAAUGACGGUACCCUGUGAGGAAGCCCCGGCUAACUACGUGCCAGCAGCCGCGGUAAUACGUAGGGGGCUAGCGUUAUCCGGAUUUACUGGGCGUAAAGGGUGCGUAGGUGGUCUUUCAAGUCGGUGGUUAAAGGCUACGGCUCAACCGUAGUUAGCCUCCGAAACUGGAAGACUUGAGUGUAGGAGAGGAAAGUGGAAUUCCCAGUGUAGCGGUGAAAUGCGUAGAUAUUGGGAGGAACACCAGUAGCGAAGGCGGCUUUCUGGACUGCAACUGACACUGAGGCACGAAAGCGUGGGUAGCAAACAGG
rnacentral:rRNA from 1 species